rnacentral:rRNA from 1 species
CUACGGGCGGCAGCAGUGAGGAAUAUUGCACAAUGGGGGGAACCCUGAUGCAGCAACGCCGCGUGGAGGAUGACGCAUUUCGGUGUGUAAACUCCUUUUAUAUGUCAAGAAAAUGACGGUAGCAUAUGAAUAAGCACCGGCUAACUCCGUGCCGGCAGCCGCGGUAUCGGAGGGUGCAAGCGUUACUCGGAAUCACUGGGCGGAAAGGACGCGUAGGCGGGUUGGAAAGUCAGGUGUGAAAUCCUACAGCUUAACUGUAGAACUGCACUUGAAACUUCUAAUCUAGAGUAUGGGAGGGGGAGAUGGAAUUAGUGGUGUAGGGGUAAAAUCCGUAGAUAUCACUAGGAAUACCUAAAGCGAAGGCGAUCUCCUGGAACAUUACUGACGCUAAGGCGUGAAAGCGUGGGGAGCAAACAGGAUUAGAUACCCCGGUAGUC